GCGGGAAUAGCUCAGUUGGUAGAGCACGACCUUGGCAAGGUCGGGGUCGCGAGUUCGAGUCUCGUUUCCCGCUCCA
rnacentral:tRNA from 3 species